rnacentral:rRNA from 1 species
ACGGGUGAGUAAUGCAUCGGAACGUACCCAGUAGUGGGGGAUAACUUACCGAAAGGUAAGCUAAUACCGCAUACGCACUGAGGUGGAAAGCAGGGGACCGCAAGGCCUUGCGCUAUUGGAGCGGCCGAUGUCGGAUUAGCUAGUUGGUGGGGUAAAGGCCUACCAAGGCGACGAUCCGUAGCGGGUCUGAGAGGAUGAUCCGCCACACUGGAACUGAGACACGGUCCAGACUCCUACGGGAGGCAGCAGUGGGGAAUUUUGGACAAUGGGCGCAAGCCUGAUCCAGCCAUGCCGCGUGAGUGAAGAAGGCCUUCGGGUUGUAAAGCUCUUUCGGCCGGGAAGAAAUCGUGGUGGCUAAUACCUGCCAUGGAUGACGGUACCGGACUAAGAAGCACCGGCUAACUACGUGCCAGCAGCCGCGGUAAUACGUAGGGUGCGAGCGUUAAUCGGAAUUACUGGGCGUAAAGCGUGCGCAGGCGGUUGUGUAAGACAGGCGUGAAAUCCCCGGGCUCAACCUGGGAACUGCGCUUGUGACUGCACGGCUAGAGUACGGCAGAGGGGGGUGGAAUUCCACGUGUAGCAGUGAAAUGCGUAGAGAUGUGGAGGAACACCGAUGGCGAAGGCAGCCCCCUGGGUCGAUACUGACGCUCAUGCACGAAAGCGUGGGGAGCAAACAGGAUUAGAUACCCUGGUAGUCCACGCCCUAAACGAUGUCGACUAGUUGUUGGAGGGGUAAAACCCUUUAGUAACGUAGCUAACGCGUGAAGUCGACCGCCUGGGGAGUACGGCCGCAAGGUUAA